GUGAGUAACACGUGGGCAAUCUGCCCUGCACUCUGGGACAAGCCCUGGAAACGGGGUCUAAUACCGGAUACUGACCUGCCAAGGCAUCUUGGCGGGUCGAAAGCUCCGGCGGUGCAGGAUGAGCCCGCGGCCUAUCAGCUUGUUGGUGAGGUAAUGGCUCACCAAGGCGACGACGGGUAGCCGGCCUGAGAGGGCGACCGGCCACACUGGGACUGAGACACGGCCCAGACUCCUACGGGAGGCAGCAGUGGGGAAUAUUGCACAAUGGGCGAAAGCCUGAUGCAGCGACGCCGCGUGAGGGAUGACGGCCUUCGGGUUGUAAACCUCUUUCAGCAGGGAAGAAGCGAAAGUGACGGUACCUGCAGAAGAAGCGCCGGCUAACUACGUGCCAGCAGCCGCGGUAAUACGUAGGGCGCAAGCGUUGUCCGGAAUUAUUGGGCGUAAAGAGCUCGUAGGCGGCUUGUCGCGUCGGUUGUGAAAGCCCGGGGCUUAACCCCGGGUCUGCAGUCGAUACGGGCAGGCUAGAGUUCGGUAGGGGAGAUCGGAAUUCCUGGUGUAGCGGUGAAAUGCGCAGAUAUCAGGAGGAACACCGGUGGCGAA
rnacentral:rRNA from 1 species